rnacentral:tRNA from 1 species
UCCCUGGAGGACUAGUGGUUAGGCCUUGGCGCUCUCACCACCACGGCCCAGGUUCAAUUCCCAGCCAGGGAA